GUAGGGUGCAAGCGUUAAUCGGAAUUACUGGGCGUAAAGCGUGCGCAGGCGGUUUGUAAGACAGUGGUGAAAUCCCCGGGGCUCAACCUGGGAACUGCCAUUGUGACUGCAAGGCUGGAGUGCGGCAGAGGGGGAUGGAAUUCCGCGUGUAGCAGUGAAAUGCGUAGAUAUGCGGAGGAACACCGAUGGCGAAGGCAAUCCCCUGGGCCUGCACUGACGCUCAUGCACGAAAGCGUGGGGAGCAAACAGGAUUAGAUACCCUGGUAGUCCACGCCCUAAACGAUGUCAACUGGUUGUUGGGAAUUUAUUUUCUCAGUAACGAAGCUAACGCGUGAAGUUGACCGCCUGGGGAGUACGGCCGCAAGGUUA
rnacentral:rRNA from 1 species